rnacentral:lncRNA from 1 species
ACUUUCAGGCUUGAAACUGUCCCGUCUCCGAUACCAGCCCCAUCAAAUCCCCUCCUUGCAGAAGCACUGUGUUCUAUGCCAAACCUGACUGACCUGACACUUGGAAUAUUAAUCAAUGAGGAGUUUUACUCCACAUUGAAAGCAAAGGCAUCAUCCGUACAGGGUUGUUUUCCUCAGAUCAGGAAAGGAAACUUCAAGUUCGAUGAAGUUGCUCAAGUUGACUUGAACUCAUUUCUUCACACCCUCUAAUAUUCGCAAAGGUUCUAUGACUCAGCACACUUAGGCAACUCUAAUGACUCGUAUGUCUCGGCCAACUCAGGCAACUCAAAUAACUCAGACAACUCAGCCGACUUGGGUAACUCAAAUGACUCGGACAACUCAGCUGACCUGGGCAGCUCAAAUGACUCGUAUGUCUCGGCCAACUCAGGCAACUCAAAUAACUCAGACAACUCAGCCAAUUCAGCCAACUUGGGCAGCUCAAAUGACUCGUAUGUCUCGGCCAACUCAGGCAACUCAAACAACUCAGACAACUCAGCCAACUUGGGUAACUCAAAUGACUCUGACAACUCAGCCGUCUUGGGCAACUUAAAUGACUCGUAUGUCUCGGCCAACUCAGGCAACUCAAAUAACUCAGACAACUCAGCCAACUUGGGUAACUCAAAUAACUCAGACAACUCAGCCAACUUGGGUAAGUCAAAUGACUCGGAUAGUUCGGCUGACUCGGGCAACCAGCUCUGCUCUGUUGUGUAACCCUCCAGUCUCUGGAUAUCGUCAACCUAUCAUGUUGAGAUGGCACAUUCAGAUGCACCAUUCAACCAAUGAUUGUAGAGCGGGCAAGAUCUAGCUGACCUCGGCCUAGUCAGGAUCACUUUACUACAGGAUUUCAUUCAGCUUCCCAAGACCGGCCAAUUGUACAGGAAAGAACAAGUUCUUCAAGUAGCCCAGGUUCUUCCAGUCAGGUAUCACAUUCAACCAGCUUUUCGUCUCCAAUCCAAAGUACAAGCAGUACUGGCAGAGAUAAAAACUUUCAUUUUUGUAAUACGUCAGAUACAGUAUGUCAAUUUUCUCAGACAUACAAAGGUAUCAACAGUCGGAGCAGGUCUCACAAGAGGCAAGCUCCUUGUACUCAUUCAAGAGUUCAACAGGAUGAUCCUGAAAUUGCAGUGAAUUCUAGUUGCUAUGGUAUCUGUAGAGUAAGACAGUGUCCCACUGGUAACACUUCAUCUUGACUUUGUGUAUGUAUCAUACAGGGCUCCACACUAACUUUCUUUUUGGAAAAGAGGUUCAGAUUUAAUUUUUAACAGUCUGUAGGCAUGAGCCCUAAGUAAAAACUUCCAAAUUCGGGGGGUCCGGACCUAGAUUAUGAGCGUCCAUGUGUCCCGGCGAGCCUGGAUGGUUUUGAGCCCAGGACUGAUAGCAAGAAAUUUGGGGCAAAAGGGGAUAAUUUGUGGUGAUGUUUGAAAACAUUUGAAUAUUCGUAAAAAGGCUGUUUUCUUUUUUGUCUUCACCUUGAUGAGUACAGUCCACUAUCUGGGGUUAGUGUAUACAUUUUACGAGAAAGGGAUCAUGACAAUGUCACAACGUUUGAAAACAUGUGAAAGGCCUAUGUAGAAAGUGAUGCAAAAAUAGGAUACGUUUUGUGAAUGUGUACUGAAUGAGCCCGAAACAGAGUAGUACCAAGAGCCCAUUGUGUGCUUGUUUUAUGAAGGAAGGGAUCAUAUUUUCCUGGGAACUAUUUUUGAAAAUACUUAA